rnacentral:rRNA from 1 species
UAAAAAAAUUUUCUUGAUUAAAAAAUUUUAUUUUUUUUAUUUUUAAUAUUGUGAAAGAUAAAAUAAUAUGUUUUAAAGUAUAAAGAGUAAUAAUUUAGAUUUAUGAUAUGGUAUAGUAUUUUAAAAGAAAUAUUUAAUAAUAAGAAAAAAUUAAUUUAAUAUUAGUACCUUUUGUAUCAGGGUUUAAAGAAAAUAUAUUAAAUAAUAUGGUCUCGAAAAAUUAAGAUUUAAAUUUAUUUAAUUAUUAUUGUUAAAUAAGUAAUAUUUAAGAUAAAUUUGGGAAUGAAAAGUUAUUCGUUUAUUUAGAUUUCUAGUUUUUAAAUAAAUUAAUUUAAUUAAUUCUUAAUUUAGAAAUUUAUUAAUUUAAAUGUAUGAGAUUAAGAAAAAAUUAUGAAGAGUUAAGUUUUUAUAAUUUUUAUAUUAAUAAAUAUAAGAUUUUUUUUAAAAUUUUUAUUGUUUAUAAUUAAUUAUUUUUUAUAAAAAAAGAUUUUUUAAUUUUUAUUUAUUUUUAAUUAAAAUUUUAUUUAGAUAAUAAUUUUAAUUAGUAAAGUUAAGAAAAUAUUUUAAAAUUAGUAAAUGAAAAAAUUAUAAUAUAGGAAUUCGGCAAAAUUAAUUUUCGCUUGUUUAUCAAAAACAUGUCUUUAAGAUUUUUUUUUAAAGUCCAAUCUGCUCACUGAAAUUUAAAGAGCUGCAGUAUAUUGACUGUACAAAGGUAGCAUAAUCAAUAGUUAUUUAAUUGAUGACUGGAAUGAAAGAUUAGACGAGAAAUUAACUUUCUUUAUAAUAAAAAAUUGAAUUUAAAUUUUAAGUGAAAAUGCUUAAAUAAAUUUAAAGGACGAGAAGACCCUAUAGAUUUUUAUUAAAUUAUGAUUAUUAAAGAGAAAUUUUAUUUAUAAUUUAAUUUAAUUGGGGCGAUUUUGUAAUAUAUUUAACUUAAAUAUUUAUUAACCAAUAAUAAAUGAAAUUUUUGAUCCAAAAUUUUUGAUUUAUAGAAUAAAUUACCUUAGGGAUAACAGCGUAAUUUUAUUUAAGAGUUCAUAUCUAUAAUAAAGUUUGCGACCUCGAUGUUGAAUUAAGAUUUUCAUUGGAGUAGAAAUUAAUGUUAAAUAGUCUGUUCGACUAUUAAAAUCUUACAUGAUUUGAGUUCAGACCGGCGUAAGCCAGGUCAGUUUCUAUCCUUAAUUUAAUUUUUUUAAAUGGGUACGAAAGGACAAUUUGAGAGUAAAAUUUAUUUAAUUAUA